rnacentral:rRNA from 1 species
CCUACGGGGGGCAGCAGUGAGGAAUAUUGGUCAAUGGACGAGAGUCUGAACCAGCCAAGUAGCGUGAAGGUUGACUGCCCUAUGGGUUGUAAACUUCUUUUAUAUGGGAAUAAAAUGUUCCACGUGUGGGAUUUUGUAUGUACCAUAUGAAUAAGGAUCGGCUAACUCCGUGCCAGCAGCCGCGGUAAUACGGAGGAUCCGAGCGUUAUCCGGAUUUAUUGGGUUUAAAGGGAGCGUAGGUGGAUUGUUAAGUCAGUUGUGAAAGUUUGCGGCUCAACCGUAAAAUUGCAGUUGAAACUGGCAGUCUUGAGUACAGUAGAGGUGGGCGGAAUUCGUGGUGUAGCGGUGAAAUGCUUAGAUAUCACGAAGAACUCCGAUUGCGAAGGCAGUUCACUGGACUGCAACUGACACUGAGGCUCGAAAGUGUGGGUAUCAAACAGGAUUAGAUACCCCUGUAGUC